rnacentral:rRNA from 1 species
UACGAAGGGGGCUAGCGUUGCUCGGAAUCACUGGGCGUAAAGGGUGCGUAGGCGGGUCUUCAAGUCGGUUGUGAAAUCCCCCAGCUCAACUGGGGAACUGCAUCCGAUACUGUCUGUCUUGAGGACGAGAGGGGAGAGUGGAACUUCUGGUGGAGCGGUGAAAUGCGUAGAUAUCAGAAGGAACGCCGGUGGCGAAAGCGACUCUCUGGCUCGUAUCUGACGCUGAGGCGCGAAAGCUUGGGUAGCAAACGGG